rnacentral:rRNA from 1 species
AUUGAACGCUGGCGGCAGGCCUAACACAUGCAAGUCGAACGGCAGCACAGAAGAGCUUGCUCUUUGGGUGGCGAGUGGCGGACGGGUGAGUAAUGUCUGGGAAACUGCCCGAUGGAGGGGGAUAACUACUGGAAACGGUAGCUAAUACCGCAUAACGUCGCGAGACCAAAGUGGGGGACCGUCGGGCCUCACACCAUCGGAUGUGCCCAGAUGGGAUUAGCUAGUAGGUGGGGUAAUGGCUCACCUAGGCGACGAUUCCUAGCUGGUCUGAGAGGAUGACCAGCCACACUGGAACUGAGACACGGUCCAGACUCCUACGGGAGGCAGCAGUGGGGAAUAUUGCACAAUGGGCGCAAGCCUGAUGCAGCCAUGCCGCGUGUAUGAAGAAGGCCUUCGGGUUGUAAAGUACUUUCAGCGGGGAGGAAGGCGGUGAGGUUAAUAACCUUGCCGAUUGACGUUACCCGCAGAGGAAGCACCGGCUAACUCCGUGCCAGCCGCCGCCGUAA